rnacentral:rRNA from 1 species
UAUGUAGGGUGCAAGCGUUAAUCGGAAUUACUGGGCGUAAAGCGUGCGCAGGCGGCUUUGCAAGUCAGAUGUGAAAUCCCCGGGCUCAACCUGGGAACUGCAUUUGUGACUGCAUGGCUAGAGUACGGUAGAGGGGGAUGGAAUUCCGCGUGUAGCAGUGAAAUGCGUAGAUAUGCGGAGGAACACCGAUGGCGAAGGCAAUCCCCUGGACCUGUACUGACGCUCAUGCACGAAAGCGUGGGGAGCAAACAGG